GAUGAGAGAGACGCUGUCCAUGAUCAGAGACAUUGUCCCAUGCUUCGUAGAGACCUUGCGAUAGAAUCGGCGGAGACGGGGGUCACCGAUUUGACGGCACUGCCCGCGAUCAUGGAAACAUUGUCAAUGAUUACAGAGACAGCGUCUAUGAUCUCAGAGACAUCGUCCACGAUCACAAAGACAUUGUCCAUGAUCGCAGAGACUUUGUCCAUAAUCUCAGAGACAUUGUCCGUGAUCACAGAGACCUAGUCCGCGAUCACAGAGAUGUAGUCCAUGAUCACAGAGAGUCUUUGACAAUGAAGUUGUUCUUUCAGACCAAGACAGAGGCCUCCAGGUGUCACCACUUCGUCCACAAGAUCAUCCACGAUCACAGAGACAUGGUCCAUGAUCGGAGAGACAUUGUUGAGGAUGAGGGAGACAUCGUCCACGAUCAGAGACGUUGUCCAUGAUCACAGAGACCUUGUCAAAGAUGAGAGAGACGUUGUCCAUGAUCAGAGACAUUGUCCCAUGCUUCGUAGAGACCUUGCGAUAGAAUCGGCGGAGACGGGGGUCACCGAUUUGACGGCACUGCCCGCGAUCAUGGAAACAUUGUCAAUGAUUACAGAGACAGCGUCUAUGAUCUCAGAGACAUCGUCCACGAUCACAAAGACAUUGUCCAUGAUCGCAGAGACUUUGUCCAUAAUCUCAGAGACAUUGUCCGUGAUCACAGAGACCUAGUCCGCGAUCACAGAGAUGUAGUCCUUGAUCACAGAGAGUCUUUGACAAUGAAGUUGUUCUUUCAGACCAAGACAGAGGCCUCCAGGUGUCACCACUUCGUCCACAAGAUCAUCCACGAUCACAGAGACAUGGUCCAUGAUCGGAGAGACAUUGUUGAGGAUGAGGGAGACAUCGUCCACGAUCAGAGACGUUGUCCAUGAUCACAGAGACCUUGUCAAAGAUGAGAGAGACGUUGUCCAUGAUCAGAGACAUUGUCCCAUGCUUCGUAGAGACCUUGCGAUAGAAUCGGCGGAGACGGGGGUCACCGAUUUGACGGCACUGCCCGCGAUCAUGGAAACAUUGUCAAUGAUUACAGAGACAGCGUCUAUGAUCUCAGAGACAUCGUCCACGAUCACAAAGACAUUGUCCAUGAUCGCAGAGACUUUGUCCAUAAUCUCAGAGACAUUGUCCGUGAUCACAGAGACCUAGUCCGCGAUCACAGAGACGUAGUCCAUGAUCACAGAGAGUCUUUGACAAUGAAGUUGUUCUUUCAGACCAAGACAGAGGCCUCCAGGUGUCACCACUUCGUCCACAAGAUCAUCCACGAUCACAGAGACAUGGUCCAUGAUCGGAGAGACAUUGUUGAGGAUGAGGGAGACAUCGUCCACGAUCAGAGACGUUGUCCAUGAUCACAGAGACCUUGUCAAAGAUGAGAGAGACGUUGUCCAUGAUCAGAGACAUUGUCCCAUGCUUCGUAGAGACCUUGCGAUAGAAUCGGCGGAGACGGGGGUCACCGAUUUGACGGCACUGCCCGCGAUCAUGGAAACAUUGUCAAUGAUUACAGAGACAGCGUCUAUGAUCUCAGAGACAUCGUCCACGAUCACAAAGACAUUGUCCAUGAUCGCAGAGACUUUGUCCAUAAUCUCAGAGACAUUGUCCGUGAUCACAGAGACCUAGUCCGCGAUCACAGAGAUGUAGUCCUUGAUCACAGAGAGUCUUUGACAAUGAAGUUGUUCUUUCAGACCAAGACAGAGGCCUCCAGGAUACAGAUGGAAUCUGGAGGCCAGGUCACAGAGACCCAACUGGGCACCCUGAACCGUAACCCGUGGCUAAAAGCUGUAACCCUAAGCGUAUAGGUUUUAGACAUGUUUUUGUAAGGUUUUAUACUUAUUUUAAACCUUUUUUUUUAAGGGUUUCUAUUUUAUUCUAAAUUAAGGUUUUAUAUUUUAUUAUACAUAUUUUUUUACUUAUUUUCUGCAGCUACAUUAAUGAAAAAUACGAAUUAAUACUAAUUGAAACUGAUAAGUUAGAGCAGCUGUGUGUUUUAAAGUGUCUGUAAACUGCAGCUGAGGUAAUGACAGAAUCAGAAUGAAAAGAAUAAACUAAUACUGACCUGGAAAUGUUUU